GAGAGUGAAGGGAGCGGAAGGCUUGGAUCCUUGUAAGCGAGUGGGCAAGAGGUAACCGGAGGGGUCUUUGAGCUGAGCCCUCCAUCCACUUUGGGGGGUGGGCGCCCCAACAGAGAAGUCCUCGAUCGCAGCAAGGUUGCGUUUAGCGCCAAAAAGAAAUUAUAUUGAUGGCUAGCCUUAUCUGAAGACCUUUGUUCUUCCUCACUGAAGUCAAUGGGACAAUAAACAGGAGUAUGGAGACCCCGCUCUCUAAUGCUGGGAAAGGUGGAAGGAAUGGGGAGGAGAGGUUGACCAGCAGGAAAAUGGAUGGACUCAGUUACAGUGAUGAUGAGCUGCUCAAUGGUGUUCUUUUGAUCUCCCAAUCAACAUCCUGAGAUUACCUGAUCAUCCCAUACAGGUCUGACUUUUCUUAUUUUUUUUAAGAUCAGCCAAGAUUUGCAAGCUGACAUUACCUCCACCACCAACUAUAAUAACAAA